CAUACGCUGGCGCAGGCCAUCCGCACCGCCGGCUGAACGCGGGCGCCCAUGAAAAAAGCCCCGAGGUUCGGGGCCUUGGCGGGUGC
rnacentral:tRNA from 1 species